rnacentral:rRNA from 1 species
UACGAGUGCCCUAAGCGUUAUCCGGAAUCAUUGGGCGUAAAGGGUGUGUAGGUGGUUAUGUUAGUCUCAUGUUAAAUUCUUCGGCUCAACCGGGGGUCUGCGUGGGAAACGGCAUAACUCGAGGAUAGGAGAGGUGUGUGGAACUCAUAGUGUAGGGGUGAAAUCCGUUGAUAUUAUGGGGAACACCAAAUGCGAAGGCAGCACACUGGCCUACUCCUGACACUGAAACACGAAAGCGUGGGUAGCGAAUGGG